rnacentral:rRNA from 1 species
GGUGAACGCUGGCGGUAGGCCUAACACAUGCAAGUCGAACGGCAGCACAGGAGAGCUUGCUCUCUGGGUGGCGAGUGGCGGACGGGUGAGGAAUACAUCGGAAUCUACCUUUUCGUGGGGGAUAACGUAGGGAAACUUACGCUAAUACCGCAUACGACCUACGGGUGAAAGUGGGGGACCGCAAGGCCUCACGCGAUUAGAUGAGCCGAUGUCCGAUUAGCUAGUUGGCGGGGUAAUGGCCCACCAAGGCGACGAUCGGUAGCUGGUCUGAGAGGAUGAUCAGCCACACUGGAACUGAGACACGGUCCAGACUCCUACGGGAGGCAGCAGUGGGGAAUAUUGGACAAUGGGCGCAAGCCUGAUCCAGCCAUACCGCGUGGGUGAAGAAGGCCUUCGGGUUGUAAAGCCCUUUUGUUGGGAAAGAAAUCCUGUCGAUUAAUACUCGGUGGGGAUGACGGUACCCAAAGAAUAAGCACCGGCUAACUUCGUGCCAGCCGCCGCCGUAAUAC